rnacentral:rRNA from 1 species
ACAGCAGUAGCCGCGGUAAUACGGAGGGCGCGAGCGUUACCCGGAUUUACUGGGCGUAAAGGGCGUGUAGGCGGCCUGGGGCGUCCCAUGUGAAAGGCCACGGCUCAACCGUGGAGGAGCGUGGGAUACGCUCAGGCUAGAGGGUGGGAGAGGGUGGUGGAAUUCCCGGAGUAGCGGUGAAAUGCGCAGAUACCGGGAGGAACGCCGAUGGCGAAGACAGCCACCUGGUCCACUUCUGACGCUGAGGCGCGAAAGCGUGGGGAGCAAACCGGAUUAGAUACCCGCGUAGUCCCUGUCUCUUAUAC